rnacentral:misc_RNA from 1 species
AAAAUUCCAAGAGAACUUAACAACCCAUUGGGAUGCUGGAUCACGUAUCAUACUUUGCCACGGUGCCACUAGUCUCAAAAUUCGUCAACUGCUAAAUACCCCUACAUCACCCCCAAACUAAGGUUAUUUUCGUCAUUCCAUCGCUAUAGUUUCAAGUUUCAACCAUCACUUCCCUCUUCUCCCUUUUCCUCCUCGCUACUCCGGCGAGCGGCAUAAAUUGCGGCCACCAUGUAUCGCCGUCAGUACCCUUUUCUUGGUUUUAGUCAGAACCAUUAGUCAAUCUUUCUUCUUUCUUGAUCAUUUCAGAAUCGUCCAUUUCCUAGCAAAAUCAAGAAAGAAAUAGAGAGAGAGAGAGACGAAGAUGGAGACGAAGAUUCUAGAGAUCAACUUGAUCUCUGCCCAAAGUCUAAAGCCGCCAUCUGCUAACCUACGCCGGUUGCAAACGUAUGCAGUGGUUUGGGUCGAUUCCUCCACCAAGCUCCGAACCCGAAUCGACCGAGUCGGCGGCGAGAACCCGACUUGGAACGACAAGUUCCUCUUCAAAGUCACUCCUGAAUUCCUUUCUAGCGAGACCUCCGGUGUUUCAUUUGAAAUCUAUGCCGUCGGUUGCCUCCGUGAUCCACUCCUCGGCACCGUCCGUUUCUUUAUCAGCAACAUCCCAGUCUUUUCCCCCACCAAAGAAAUGAGAACUCCCUCCUUCAUUGCUCUACAGAUUCGUCGUCCGUCUGGAAGAUUCCAAGGGGUGCUCAACAUCGGUGCUAUCAUCAACGACGGCUCUGAUUUCGCGACCCUAAAUGGAGCAUCGGCUAUUGGUUAUCGUGAUCUUAUGGGGGAGAGUAUUCAUCAUCUGCGGCAUCGUGAUUUAAAGAAGUCGAUUUCGAUGGAAGAGGAUACACACGGCGAAAAUUCUUGUGGAGAUUCGGGAGAUUUCUCUGAUGGUGCCGACUCCACGACUUCUUCAUCUUCAGCUGCUUCAACGGCAUUGAAGGACUGGAACGGACUUAGAGAUUUGGCGGGAACGAAUCAUUUGAGGUCAUCAUCGGACGAUGGAGGGCUGUUUUGUGGGUUGCUGUUGCAGAGAAGGCUUCCUACGUGCUUUUCUGCACAGAAUCUUCAG